GCGCGCGUAGGCGGCUAAUUAAGUCAAAUGUGAAAUCCCCGAGCUUAACUUGGGAAUUGCAUUCGAUACUGGUUAGCUAGAGUGUGGGAGAGGAUGGUAGAAUUCCAGGUGUAGCGGUGAAAUGCGUAGAGAUCUGGAGGAAUACCGAUGGCGAAGGCAGCCAUCUGGCCUAACACUGACGCUGAGGUGCGAAAGCAUGGGGAGCAAACAGGAUUAGAUACCCUGGUAGUCCAUGCCGUAAACGAUGUCUACUAGCCGUUGGGGCCUUUGAGGCUUUAGUGGCGCAGCUAACGCGAUAAGUAGACCGCCUGGGGAGUACGGUCGCAAGACUAAAACUCAAAUGAAUUGACGGGGGCCCGCACAAGCGGUGGAGCAUGUGGUUUAAUUCGAUGCAACGCGAAGAACCUUACCUGGCCUUGACAUAGUAAGAACUUUCCAGAGAUGGAUUGGUGCCUUCGGGAACUUACAUACAGGUGCUGCAUGGCUGUCGUCAGCUCGUGUCGUGAGAUGUUGGGUUAAGUCCCGCAACGAGCGCAACCCUUUUCCUUAUUUGCCAGCGAGUAAUGUCGGGAACUUUAAGGAUACUGCCAGUGACAAACUGGAGGAAGGCGGGGACGACGUCAAGUCAUCAUGGCCCUUACGGCCAGGGCUACACACGUGCUACAAUGGUCGGUACAAAGGGUUGCUACCUAGCGAUAGGAUGCUAAUCUCAAAAAGCCGAUCGUAGUCCGGAUUGGAGUCUGCAACUCGACUCCAUGAAGUCGGAAUCG
rnacentral:rRNA from 1 species